ensembl:lncRNA
GUGAAGCUGUCAGACUUCGGGUUCUGUGCCCAGGUGAGCAAAGAAGUGCCCUGGAGGAAGUUGCUGGUCGACAAACCCUACUGGAUGGCCCCAGAGCUCAUCUCCCGCCUUCCCUAUGGGCCAGAGGAUAAAGCAAGAAGUGAGCCCACCCUGGAUCCUGAGGCUCUGAGCUUGAUGGAGCCCAGAGUUCCCUCCAGGCCGCUUCCUUCACAGAUCUUGAAGCUGAGGUCAAGACGAAGCAGGGGCAGAUCCCGGGUGCUCCCCAGGCAAAGAGAGCUGAUCUCGGGGCUGGGGUCACAAGCCUCCUCUCCUGCCACGUUUAGGGCCCUAGAGCCAGGGAGGAUGAGAGACCAGAGGCCUUUAGUUCACCCCUGGGGCUGGACAGAGGCUCAGCCUGUGCCGCAUCCCGAAGCUGUUCUGGCCAGUCUGAGCCACGGCCCCUUUAAGAGGGGGUGGUGCUUCAGCUUGAGGCCAGGGUCGCUGCCUGCGUGCGUGCCCUACGGAAGCCAAGACUGCGCUUCCUGCGAGGAUCCGGCGUUAGCCGUGGCUUGGCUGGAGGGAGUCAGCAGAGGCCGCGGUCCCCCUGGUCGGAGGGCGUCAGCAGAGGCGGUGGCAGCACCCCCCAUCACGCUGAGGGAGUCAGCAGGGGUGGCGGCGGCCCCCUGUGCCGGAGGGAGUCAGCAGAGGGGGCGGCGCCCUCCCCCCCUCCACCCAGCCAGAGGGAGUCAGCAGAAGCGGGGGCGUGGUCAGAGCGAGUUUCUUCGGAGAAGCCGAGGUGGCUUCCACGUGUUGGUGGAGGAGGAGGCAGAUCUCUGCGGUAAGUGGCGGGGACUCAUACCCCACCGGGAACCCUGGUCCAGGCCUCCCUGCUCCUUGUUCGCGGCUCCCUGCUUUUCGGCCCUGACUUCUUUGUGA